ACAAAGCAGACAAGAAGCUUGACUUCUGAAUACGGGGAAAAGGACAAGACCUCCACUGACUAGGAAUCUGAUCUGUUGUAGCCCAUAAGCUUAGUCAACACCAGGUGUUACCAGGCUGUUACAGGCUUGUAGCUUUGUCAAGUAAAUUUGCAUAAAUAAAUGUGACAUAAAACUAAAACAUGUUUUUUUACUUACAGCAAAUGUCUAGUUAACAGACUUACUGUUAACUAGAAGAAUGUGGGGUAAUGGAAGUCCAGCAGUGAAAAGAAGCUGGACACCUUGCAUGCAUGUCUCUGCUGCAAUGAGCAAUGGUGUGAUGUGUCAUGAGAAUCUCUGGAACCUGCAGAGGAUUCUGCCAGGGAGCCAAGUCAUAGUGACAGAGCUGAGAGGAGCUGUUGUCAAGACUGAUUCAACACUUGAGAAGUGCCACGUAUUUACUAGGGAUGAAGUUGUAAUUGCCAUCAGCUGUGGACCGCCAGCAUGAGCAUGCCAAUAUAAGCAGAUGGGACUGAGGCCAGAAGAAAUAUAGGGAGAGCAGAAAAACCCCUCACCAGCCGGGACUUGACUUUCUUUGGCAGUUCUUCUUCCAGUGUGUGAAGAUCACUGCGCUUCACUGUCAGCUGAGAUCCAUCU